UGCGUAGGUGGCGCCGUAAGUGGGGUGUGAAAUUUCGGAGCUUAACUCCGAAACUGCAUUCCAUACUGCGGUGCUUGAGGACUGGAGAGGAGACUGGAAUUUACGGUGUAGCAGUGAAAUGCGUAGAGAUCGUAAGGAAGACCAGUGGCGAAGGCGGGUCUCUGGACAGUUCCUGACACUGAGGCACGAAGGCUAGGGGAGGCAACG
rnacentral:rRNA from 1 species